GUGCCUAACACAUGCAAGUCGAACGGGAAAGUGGAGCAAUCCAUGAGUAUAGUGGCGACCGGGUGAGUAACACGUGACUAACCUGCCCUUGAGUGGGGGAUAACCUCGGGAAACCGGGGCUAAUACCGCAUAACAUCUUCAGGAUGAGAAGCUGGGGAUCAAAGGAGCAAUCCGCUUAUGGAGGGGGUCGCGGCUGAUUAGCUAGUUGGCGGGGUAACGGCCCACCAAGGCGAUGAUCGGUAUCCGGCCUGAGAGGGCGCACGGACACACUGGAACUGAAACACGGUCCAG
rnacentral:rRNA from 1 species